GGGCUCCCAGUUCAGAAAUGGGCCCAUCCCAUCCGCACCCCCAACCCCGUUCCCUCUCCCCAUACAGAUGGCUGAGGCGUUUGCAGUGAUGAGACAGGAGUUAAACAGGAGAGCAGAAGAAGCCACCAGGAGGGAAUAUGACCAAUUUGUGCAGGAGCUGGACCGUGACCACCAGAGCAUGAGCAGCUGCCUGAGGGUUAAGCCCCUGGAGAUGCAGCGACGCCUGGAGGGGAAACGCCAGGAGCUGCUGGAGCGCUGCCGGGCGGGAGCUGCAGGGCGAGGACCCCCAGAAACAGGUGGCACUGGAGGAGCUGAAGAAGGAGCUGGACAAGCAGAUGGCAGAGUUCCUGCCGCGAUAUGAACAGCACUUUAAAAUGGCAGCGAUGAUAGAGAAGGAAAACAGAAAAGCAGUAGAAGCCUCCAGGAGGAAAUAUGAACAAUUUGUGCAGCAGCUGGUGAGCACAGAGGGGCUGUGGGUCGGGAGUGAGGGUCACCGGCAGACCUGGGGGUGGGGGGGGGCAGGGAUGGGAUAGCACGGGGCUGUGGUGGGUCGGAGUUGAAGGGUCUGUGGGUGCAUGACAUGAUGGUGCCCCCUGUGGCUGGGA
rnacentral:lncRNA from 1 species